rnacentral:rRNA from 1 species
GAUGAACGCUAGCGGCAGGCUUAACACAUGCAAGUCGAGGGGUAACAGGAAGAAGCUUGCUUUUUCGCUGACGACCGGCGCACGGGUGCGUAACGCGUAUAGAACUUACCUUUUACAGAGGGGUAGCCUUUAGAAAUGAAGAUUAAUACCUCAUAGUACUGAAACUUGGCAUCAAGAUUUAGUUAAAGAUUUAUCGGUAAAAGAUGGCUAUGCGUCCUAUUAGCUAGAUGGUAAGGUAACGGCUUACCAUGGCAACGAUAGGUAGGGGUCCUGAGAGGGAGAUCCCCCA